AGCGAACGCUGGCGGCAGGCCUAAUACAUGCAAGUCGAACGCCUGUAGCAAUACAGGAGUGGCAGACGGGAGAGUAACACGUGGGAACGUACCCUUCGGUUCGGAACAACCCAGGGAAACUUGGGCUAAUACCGGAUACGUCCGUAAGGAGAAAGAUUUAUUGCCGAAGGAUCGGCCCGCGUCUGGUUAGCUUGUUGGUGAGGUAACGGCUCACCAAGGCGACGAUCAGUAGCUGGUCUGAGAGGAUGAUCAGCCUCACUGGGACUGAGACACGGCCCAGACUCCUACGGGAGGCAGCAGUAGGGAAUAUUGGACAAUGGGCGCAAGCCUGAUCCAGCCAUGCCGCGUGAGUGAUGAAGGCCUUAGGGUUGUAAAGCUCUUUCGGCGGGGAAGAUAAUGACGGUACCCGCAGAAGAAGCCCCGGCUAACUUCGUGCCAGCAGCCGCCGUAAAAC
rnacentral:rRNA from 1 species